UAAGUUAGAAAGGGCGCACGGUGGAUGCCUUGACACUAGGAGUCGAUGAAGGACGGGACUAACGCCGAUAUGCUUCGGGGAGCUGUAAGUAAGCUUUGAUCCGAAGAUUUCCGAAUGGGGAAACCCACCAUACGUAAUGGUAUGGUAUCCUUAUCUGAAUACAUAGGGUAAGGAAGACAGACCCAGGGAACUGAAACAUCUAAGUACCUGGAGGAAGAGAAAGCAAAUGCGAUUUCCUGAGUAGCGGCGAGCGAAACGGAACAUAGCCCAAACCAAGAGGCUUGCCUCUUGGGGUUGUAGGACAUUCUAUACGGAGUUACAAAGGAACGAGGUAGACGAAGCGACCUGGAAAGGUCCGUCGUAGAGGGUAACAACCCCGUAGUCGAAACUUCGUUCUCUCUUGAAUGUAUCCUGAGUACGGCGGAACACGUGAAAUUCCGUCGGAAUCUGGGAGGACCAUCUCCCAAGGCUAAAUACUCCCUAGUGAUCGAUAGUGAACCAGUACCGUGAGGGAAAGGUGAAAAGCACCCGGAAGGGGAGUGAAAGAGAUCCUGAAACCGUGUGCCUACAAAUAGUCAGAGCCCGUUAACGGGUGAUGGCGUGCCUUUUGUAGAAUGAACCGGCGAGUUACGAUCCCGUGCGAGGUUAAGCUGAAGAGGCGGAGCCGCAGCGAAAGCGAGUCUGAAUAGGGCGUUUAGUACGUGGUCGUAGACCCGAAACCAGGUGAUCUACCCAUGUCCAGGGUGAAGUUCAGGUAACACUGAAUGGAGGCCCGAACCCACGCACGUUGAAAAGUGCGGGGAUGAGGUGUGGGUAGCGGAGAAAUUCCAAUCGAACCUGGAGAUAGCUGGUUCUCCCCGAAAUAGCUUUAGGGCUAGCCUUAAGUGUAAGAGUCUUGGAGGUAGAGCACUGAUUGGACUAGGGGUCCUCAUCGGAUUACCGAAUUCAGUCAAACUCCGAAUGCCAAUGACUUAUCCUUAGGAGUCAGACUGCGAGUGAUAAGAUCCGUAGUCAAAAGGGAAACAGCCCAGACCGCCAGCUAAGGUCCCAAAGUGUGUAUUAAGUGGAAAAGGAUGUGGAGUUGCUUAGACAACUAGGAUGUUGGCUUAGAAGCAGCCACCAUUUAAAGAGUGCGUAAUAGCUCACUAGUCGAGUGACUCUGCGCCGAAAAUGUACCGGGGCUAAAUACACCACCGAAGCUGCGGAUUGAUACCAAUGGUAUCAGUGGUAGGGGAGCGUUCUAAGGACAGUGAAGUCAGACCGGAAGGACUGGUGGAGUACUUAGAAGUGAGAAUGCCGGUAUGAGUAGCGAAAGACGGGUGAGAAUCCCGUCCACCGAAUGCCUAAGGUUUCCUGAGGAAGGCUCGUCCGCUCAGGGUUAGUCAGGACCUAAGCCGAGGCCGACAGGCGUAGGCGAUGGACAACAGGUUGAUAUUCCUGUACCACCUCUUUAUCGUUUGAGCAAUGGAGGGACGCAGAAGGAUAGAAGAAGCGUGCGAUUGGUUGUGCACGUCCAAGCAGUUAGGCUGAUAAGUAGGCAAAUCCGCUUAUCGUGAAGGCUGAGCUGUGAUGGGGAAGCUCCUUAUGGAGCGAAGUCUUUGAUUCCCCGCUGCCAAGAAAAGCUUCUAGCGAGAUAAAAGGUGCCUGUACCGCAAACCGACACAGGUAGGCGAGGAGAGAAUCCUAAGGUGUGCGAGAGAACUCUGGUUAAGGAACUCGGCAAAAUGACCCCGUAACUUCGGGAGAAGGGGUGCUUUCUUAACGGAAAGCCGCAGUGAAUAGGCCCAAGCGACUGUUUAGCAAAAACACAGCUCUCUGCGAAGCCGUAAGGCGAAGUAUAGGGGGUGACACCUGCCCGGUGCUGGAAGGUUAAGGAGAGGGGUUAGCGUAAGCGAAGCUCUGAACUGAAGCCCCAGUAAACGGCGGCCGUAACUAUAACGGUCCUAAGGUAGCGAAAUUCCUUGUCGGGUAAGUUCCGACCCGCACGAAAGGUGUAACGAUUUGGGCACUGUCUCAACCAGAGACUCGGUGAAAUUAUAGUACCUGUGAAGAUGCAGGUUACCCGCGACAGGACGGAAAGACCCCGUGGAGCUUUACUGUAGCCUGAUAUUGAAUUUUGGUACAGUUUGUACAGGAUAGGCGGGAGCCUUUGAAACCGGAGCGCUAGCUUCGGUGGAGGCGCUGGUGGGAUACCGCCCUGACUGUAUUGAAAUUCUAACCUACGGGUCUUAUCGACCCGGGAGACAGUGUCAGGUGGGCAGUUUGACUGGGGCGGUCGCCUCCUAAAGUGUAACGGAGGCGCCCAAAGGUUCCCUCAGAAUGGUUGGAAAUCAUUCGUAGAGUGCAAAGGCAUAAGGGAGCUUGACUGCGAGACCUACAAGUCGAGCAGGGACGAAAGUCGGGCUUAGUGAUCCGGUGGUUCCGCAUGGAAGGGCCAUCGCUCAACGGAUAAAAGCUACCCCGGGGAUAACAGGCUUAUCUCCCCCAAGAGUCCACAUCGACGGGGAGGUUUGGCACCUCGAUGUCGGCUCAUCGCAUCCUGGGGCUGUAGUCGGUCCCAAGGGUUGGGCUGUUCGCCCAUUAAAGCGGUACGCGAGCUGGGUUCAGAACGUCGUGAGACAGUUCGGUCCCUAUCCGUCGUGGGCGUAGGAAAUUUGAGAGGAGCUGUCCUUAGUACGAGAGGACCGGGAUGGACGCACCGCUGGUGUACCAGUUGUUCUGCCAAGGGCAUAGCUGGGUAGCUAUGUGCGGAAGGGAUAAGUGCUGAAAGCAUCUAAGCAUGAAGCCCCCCUCAAGAUGAGAUUUCCCAUAGCGUAAGCUAGUAAGAUCCCUGAAAGAUGAUCAGGUUGAUAGGUUCGAGGUGGAAGCAUGGUGACAUGUGGAGCUGACGAAUACUAAUAGAUCGAGGACUUAACCA
rnacentral:rRNA from 1 species